rnacentral:rRNA from 1 species
UAAGCCUGCGAAGGUGGCCUGUGAGGGUUGCUGGAGGUAUCAGAAGUGCGAAUGCUGACAUAAGUAACGAUAAAGCGGGUGAAAAGCCCGCUCGCCGGAAGACCAAGGGUUCCUGUCCAACGUUAAUCGGGGCAGGGUGAGUCGACCCCUAAGGCGAGGCCGAAAGGCGUAGUCGAUGGGAAACGGGUUAAUAUUCCCGUACUUGGUGUUACUGCGAAGGGGGGACGGAGAAGGCUAUGUUGGCCGGGCGACGGUUGUCCCGGUUUAAGCGUGUAGGUGUGUGUUCCAGGUAAAUCCGGUUCACUUUAACACUGAGGCGUGACGACGAGGCACUACGGUGCUGAAGCAACAAAUGCCCUGCUUCCAGGAAAAGCCUCUAAGCAUCAGGUAACAUCAAAUCGUACCCCAAACCGACACAGGUGGUCAGGUAGAGAAUACCAAGGCGCUUGAGAGAACUCGGGUGAAGGAACUAGGCAAAAUGGUGCCGUAACUUCGGGAGAAGGCACGCUGACACGUAGGUGAAGUGAUUUACUCAUGGAGCUGAAGUCAGUCGAAGAUACCAGCUGGCUGCAACUGUUUAUUAAAAACACAGCACUGUGCAAACACGAAAGUGGACGUAUACGGUGUGACGCCUGCCCGGUGCCGGAAGGUUAAUUGAUGGGGUCAGCGCAAGCGAAGCUCCUGAUCGAAGCCCCGGUAAACGGCGGCCGUAACUAUAACGGUCCUAAGGUAGCGAAAUUCCUUGUCGGGUAAGUUCCGACCUGCACGAAUGGCGUAAUGAUGGCCAGGCUGUCUCCACCCGAGACUCAGUGAAAUUGAACUCGCUGUGAAGAUGCAGUGUACCCGCGGCAAGACGGAAAGACCCCGUGAACCUUUACUAUAGCUUGACACUGAACAUUGAGCCUUGAUGUGUAGGAUAGGUGGGAGGCUUUGAAGUGUGGACGCCAGUCUGCAUGGAGCCGGCCUUGAAAUACCACCCUUUAAUGUUUGAUGUUCUAACGUGGACCCGUGAUCCGGGUUGCGGACAGUGUCUGGUGGGUAGUUUGACUGGGGCGGUCUCCUCCUAAAGAGUAACGGAG